GGAGAGGUACCGAAGUGGUCAUAACGGGGCGGUCUUGAAAACCGUUAGACGUUCGCGCGUCACAAGGGUUCGAAUCCCUUCCUCUCCGCCA
rnacentral:tRNA from 1 species